AGGUGACCUGCGGAGGGAUCAUUGAAACCGAUCAAUCCACCCACAGAGCACCUGUGGGUCCGCCCCAGCCCGGUGCCGUCCCCUCGGGGGCGCCCGGGGGGUUUGGGGCGGGCCCGCCGUAUUCUAAGGGUCCGCCGGUCGCCCCCUCCCGGGGGAGGCCGGUCCCGGAUCCCCAACCCAUCUGAACCCUUCUGCCCUGAAGCAACUUCGCCAGGGGACACCCCGAGCGACAGUAACAGAGACAACUCUCAACAACGGAUAUCUUGGCUCUCGCAACGAUGAAGAACGCAGCGAAAUGCGAUACGUAGUGUGAAUUGCAGAAUUCCGUGAGUCAUCGAAUCUUUGAACGCACAUUGCCGGUCGACUCUUCGGAGGAGACCACAUCUGCCUCAGCGUCGGGAUACCCCCUCACGCACAACCGCGCGUGGAUCUGGCCCCCCCGGCCCCCCUCGCAGGGGACCGGGCCGGCUGAAAUGCAGAGGCCCGUGCGCGGCCCACUUGUGGCCCCGACUAGGUAGGUAGCUCGCUACUGCUAGGCGGCGGCUCGGUGCCGCGGACUCUGGGCCGCAAAGGAUACUCCCAUUCAUUCGACCUGAGUUCAGGUGAGGCUAC
rnacentral:rRNA from 1 species